rnacentral:siRNA from 1 species
AAGUUUGGGUGGCCACGUGUCA